UGCACUCCUUCCUCUUUCCCUGAGAAAAGGAGGCCCGAAGAGUGAACAGAAUCAUGCUUUCCCAUAGCAGAUCUGCCACAUGUUCUGGACUGUCCUAAGGUCACUUAUAUAGCAAUAUUUUGCUCAUGAUGUCCCAAAGUUGUAAAUGAAUGAUAGACGUCUUCCAUCCUGGAAUAACCCCAGUUUCCUGGACCAGAUGUUGAUUCCUCUUAAUUGGUGUUAGCAAACACAAGGAGAAGACUUCCUUCUUAACAGAUGUUAAGAUUUCCUUAAUUUGAUGUAAACAUUUCUCUUAUCAGUCACAGUUCUUAUCACAGUUUAUCGGGCAGGACAACUAUUUCAGGUCUUAUUAGCAGGUUUUAAUUACAAUUCCUGAGAAGGUAGUUAAUGGUUUGCAGGCCUUAGUGUCUUCAAAUUUACUAACUCUCUUUCAUUCUUCCAUUCAUACCAACAUAUAAUAAAUCUAUAUUUUGGUCACAAGUGUAUUUCAAAAUAUAUUGGCUGCAGGAAAGAAAAUAGUUCCAUGUUCCUGGCAGUUUGAGUUAUGUAUGGGACUGGCAAAAACUCCUUGAGCAUCCGUUGCCCAAAAAUUAAAAAAGCAUGACAAUUAGUUGUGUUGCCCAUGAAGGCUUGUACAGUUUUUAACUAAGAAUGAAUCCGGCACCGUUUGGGACCGCCUCGGAAACCUCAGAAGGGUGCGACCGGGUUCCUUUGCAUACAGCCCAUGAGGCAUUGCGCGAGGAUUUUCAACUUGAAUUUACAGGGGAAAUCUUAGGGGCCAGAGAAGCAGAUGGGGAAACAGAAGAAGGGCCUGCCUCAGGGGAGCGUGCUUGCUCCAUCCAUGUUGAACAUUUACACCAAUGAUCAGCCACUGCCAGAAGGGACAGAGAGUUUCAUCUAUGCUGACGAUCGUGCCAUCAACGCCCAAGCAGGGAGCUCUGAAAUUGUAGAAGCUUUAGGUGCUCUUGCUGCUUCUUACAGGGAAAACCAGCUGAUUCCUAAUCCAUCUAAAACACAGACAUGUGCUUUUCACCUUAAGAACAGACAAGCAUCUUGAGCUCUGAAGAUCACCUGUGAAGGAAUCCCACUGGAGCACUGCAGCACACCCAAAUACGUGGGAGUUACCCUGGACCACAUUCUGACCUAUAAGAAGCACUGCUUGACUAUAAAGCAAAUAAUGGGCUCAAGAAACAAUCUCAUACGAAAGCUGACUGGCACAACCUGGACAUCACAACCAGGGCCGGAGAUAAAUUUAAAUAUUAAGCGGGGGCGCUGAAAAGCGCCCCCCGCCGGCCCCGCCUCCUGCGCCCUGGCCCCGCCUCCCAACCAGCGUGCCCUGGCCCCGCCUCCCGCGCUGCGUGGGAGGCGCGGCCAGGGUUGGAAAGAGGGAGGCUUCGCCGCCCGGGGAGGGAAGGAGGGGAUCUCUCCUCCCCUCCCCGGGCGGCGAAAGAAGCAGGCUUCGCCGCCCGGGGAGGGAAGGAGGGGAUCUCUCCUCCCCUCCCCGGGCGGCGAAAGAAGCAGGCUUCUAAUUUUUGGUGGCCUGCCGUCGGGCCUAUAUUGUACCGUAGUAGCAGAUAUAUCCUGCCAGUGGAUAUUUUUACACUGGGUAAUAUCCUUGCAGAUGGCCAAUUUGGUGAUUGGGCUCAGAGUUCCCUGGGUAAGGGGGAACUACAACUCCCAUAUCUGAGGUAAAUAACCCCUAAAUUGGGUUUUAUUCACAGUUUGCUAUGUUGGGUCUUGUGUGCAGCUCUCCUUAUUAUCCAACAUAUUUGCUUAUCCAAUGUUCUGCUGGCCUGUUUAUGUUGGAUAAGUGAGACUCUACUGUGUGUGUGUGUGUGUGUCACACACACAUAUAUAUAUAUAUUAGCAGAUAUAAGAUAAAUAUGAAGUAAAGUAUUUGCAAUUAAGUUCAUUGUGUCUAGUAAAAGUCUAGUAAAAGUUCUGCAACUCUGUUUUGGAAUUGAAGGCACAACUGAGAAAAGUAAAUGCAGCUCUGAUUGGAGUCCGUCCUAUUUUUAAUAGCUAGCCAUUGGAUUUUGGGAGUUAUAGUUUACCCCUCACAAUGGAUCCCACCAACAAUAGAGGUGGAUCAGUAAUAAUAAUAAUAAUAAUAAGUCCUAGACACUUGGGAAGUGUUCGACUUGUGAUUUUGUGAUACGAAAUCCAGCAUAUCUAUCUUGUUUGCUGUGUCAUACAAUAAUAAUAUUUUCCAGGGAGACUCAUUGUCCCCUCUGCUGUUCA